GGCUCCGUAGCUUGGAGGAAAGAAGCGCCCGUCUAGCGAGUUGGGAGUCGUGGGUUCGAUUCCCACCGGAGCAC
rnacentral:tRNA from 1 species